ensembl:lncRNA
CAGGCAGGGACUGGAAUACCAAGAGCAGUGUCAGGGGCAGGGACUGGAGUAGCAAAGAGGUUGGAGGCUGAUAUGGUUUUACUGUGUCCUGGAAUAAAUCUCAUCUCUAACUGUAAUCCCCAUAAUCCCCAUGUGUCUAGGGAGAGAGCCGGUGGGAGGAGAUUGGAUAGUGGCGACAGUUUCUUUCAUGCUGUUUUCAUGAUAGUAAUUGAGUUCUCAUGAGAGCUGAUGUUUUUUUUUUUUUUUUUUUUUUUUUUUUUUUUUUUGUAGAAAGUGAUUUAUCUAGAGAGAGAGAGAGAAACAGAAGGAAAGAAAAAGAAACGGCUAAGUCUCACGGCGAGUGAGAGAAUCCAGAAAGUUGGAAUCCAGAAGAGGUUUUAUAAAGGGCUCUUCCUACUUUGCUCCGCACACUCUUUCCACCUUGUGAAGAAAGAUGUGUUUGCUUCUCCUUCCACCAUGAUUGUAAGUUUCCUGAGUCCUCCCCAGCCAUGCAGAACUGUGAGAUAAUUAAAGCUUUUUCCUUCAUAAAUUACUCAAUCUUGGGUAUUUCUUCAGAGAAGUGUGAAAAUAGACUAAUACAGAAGCCAAGACACCAUUUAGGAAAUGAUUCCAAAACUUAGAAGACAGCAGCAAUGGGAUUGGAGAAAAGGUCAAACUCAAAAGAUUUUUUUCAUGGCAUACAAUUGUCAGAUCUUGAUGGAGUCUCACUCUGUCACCCAGGCUGGAAGUACAGUCGCACAAUCUUGGCUCACUGCAACCUCUGCCUCCCGGGUUCAAGCAAUUCUCUGCCUCAGUCUCCUGAGUAGUUGAGAUUACAGGUACCCACCACCACACCUGAGUAAUUUUUGUAUUUUUAGUAAAGACAGGCUGGUCUUGCACUCCUGAUGUUGUGAUCCACCCACCUCAGCCUCCCAAAGUGCUGGGAUUACAGGCAAGAGCCACCAUGCCUGGCUGUGCCUGGCCAUGUUUUUAAGUGUGUUGUGCAUAGUUCAUUGAGUUUUGAUGAACAGAUAUACAGAUGCAAUCACCACAGUCAGUAUAGAACAUUUCCAUUACCCCAAAACUUAGGCUUUACUCCUCCCCAGGCAAUUCCCCCUCCCAGCCCCAAGUAACCACUGACUUGCUUUUUUUAAAUAUUGUAUUUUUAUUAAACACAUUUUUUCCUCAUGGUAAAAGUAAUACAUACUAAUCAAGGAGUCCAGAAAAUAUAGAAAAGUAUAAUAAAGAAAAACAAAAGUCUUAGUCACAUUAUCCAGAGACAGUUCAUAUUCUUAUUUAUAUGUAUUUUCUUCACAUUGUGUGUGUGUGUGUAUGUGUGUGCAUUUAAUGAUACUGAGGCCAGGAUCUAUACACAGCUUCAUUGGUGAUUGCAUAUUUGUCUAUGAAGAUUGUAUCUAAAAUCAUUUUGCUCACAGAGCCUACAACUGACUCUAUAUUUGAUUAAUGGCCCCAGUUUACUCAAGCUAGGAAGGAACCUGAGUUGCUAUGAAGAAUAGAUCUUUUUUUUUCCUGAUACAUUUUCUAGUUGGUUGUUGCUGUUGUAAAAAGAAAACCACUGAGUUUCUGUAUAGUGUAUUUAACUUGUAUUCAUUGACCUUCUUGAAUUCUAUUUCCUAUAGUUUUCAAAAUAUUUUCUUCGAUAUUUUACAUGUAAAAUAAUCUCUUCUGUGAAUAAUAGUCCUUUUAUGCUGUCUGAUUUUUAUGCUUCCUUUUUUUUACUUCCUGAGUGUAAAUAAAUCCUGGAUGGGCACAGUGGCUCAUGCCUGUAAUGCUAGCACUUUGGGAGGCCAAGGUGGAAGGAUCGCUUGAGGCCAGGAGUUAAGAGAUUAGCCUGGGCAACAUAGCAAGAUCUCGUCUCUACAAAAAAAAUAUAAAAGUUAGGUGGGCGUGGUGGCAUGCACCUGUAGUCCUAACUACUAACUACUUAAGAGGCUGAGUCAGGAGGAUCCCUUAAGCCCAAGAGUUCAAGACUGCAGUAAGCUAUGAUCGUGUCUUUGCACUCCAGCCUGGGUGAGAGUGAGACCCUGUCUCUAAUAAAAACAAUUAAUCCUGACAUGCAAAACACUGCAGAACAGUCUAGCAGCUUGUGGGGAGCUAAGGAAAGAAUUCUGAGGCCCAUAGAGAAUGCUUUUAGGCUGAACAUUCUUAAAUAGCUCUAACCCCAUUAGACUUCCCCUAU